AAGAUAGGGAAGAUCAAGGUCAAACAAUAGAAAACAGAAGCAAAAUGAAGAUUAGAAGUCAAGAAACAAGUAAAAUAUUUUUGGUAUUUUUCAAUAUUAAAAUAAAACUUGAAUUAAAAUAAUAAAGAAAGGUCAAACUUCAAACUCACUUCAAAUCAACUUUGAAAAGUCCAAGUGAAUUAUCCCAAGUUCAACAAGGUCAAACA
rnacentral:lncRNA from 1 species